AACAAACGCUGGCGGCGUGCCUAACACAUGCAAGUCGUACGAGAAAGUCGGCUUCGGCCGAUGAGUACAGUGGCGCACGGGUGAGUAGCGCGUGGGUAAUCUGCCCCCCCGGUCAGGAAUAACCCGCCGAAAGGCGGGCUAAUACCCGAUAACACUGACGCUCCGCGGAGCGUCUUUCAAAGGAGGCCUCUGUUUACAAGCUUUCGCCGGAGGAUGAGCCCGCGUACCAUUAGCUAGUUGGCAGGGUAAUGGCCUACCAAGGCUGCGAUGGUUAGCUGGUCUGAGAGGAUGGCCAGCCACACUGGAACUGAGACACGGUCCAGACUCCUACGGGAGGCAGCAGUGAGGAAUCUUGCGCAAUGGGGGAAACCCUGACGCAGCAACGCCGCGUGAGUGAGGAAGGCCUUCGGGUCGUAAACUGCUUUUGUACGGAACGAAAAGCCCUUCUCUAAUAAAGGGGGGUCAUGACGGUACCGUAAGAAUAAGCACCGGCUAACUACGUG
rnacentral:rRNA from 1 species